GUAAUGGCUGGAUUUCUAGCAGCCAUAUUGAACCAUGAGGUGACUUUGGGAGCAGAAGUCAUGUUCCGUGAAGCAACAAGAUAGAGGAAGCCUGAAUUCCGGACAUCACAGAGAAUUCACAGUAGCCUUGGACUCAUUGCCUCUGAGCUUCCUUUUACUUGUUUCUCCCCCCAUGGUUUCAGCCAUACUGGAAAUGUUGCCAGCCAGUUCGCAGAUCUUAGGCCAUCCCGAGGGUGGAGGAUACUUCCUGAUGGCUGGGCUGUGUGACAUGCUUUGGACGAUGAAAUGUGAGUGGAAGUGACACGUGCCACUUUGAAGCAGACUCUUCAAGAACCUUCCAUGUUGCUCUGCUCUUUCUCUUUUUCCCUGGCCGUGGGACCUGCGUGCUCCUUCCACCCUGGUCCUGCAGUGAAGCGGGCGCGGCGCAGAGGGUCACGGCCAGCCUGUGACAUCCCGGACACCGGUGAGAACUGGGCCUCUGCUGUUGGAAGCCACUGAGGUUUGGGGUCCCUUGUCCCAGCAUCCUCAGCCUGCGCCGACUCAUAGAGCACACGGCCCCACAUUGUGACCCUGUAUUUGUUUCUGUCUCCUGCGCUCAACUGCGAGCAGCUUGGUAGCAGGGACUGGGCCUUUCCUUGACUCAACAACUAUUUAUUCUGAGCUUUCUAUGUGACAAGCUCUGGGCUAGACCCUGAGGUCACAGCGAGGAAGAGAUUAGUCCUUGACCUUGACUUGCCAGGUCUGAUGGGGACCCACACACAUGGCAACGAUGACAGUCUAAAAGAAAUGUGCCUGGGGGGCCCAGGGAGCCGGAGGGGGGCUCCCGCCGCUGCAGGGGACAGGAGU